UACUAUGAGAUGGUACAAUCGUGAGCACACAAGUUUUAAUGUAUUGAAUGAGGGAAUUUUGCUCGAGGACUCAAGUGACAACCUAGCUCACAUUAUCAAUCUAGCCUGGAAUGACACCCCGUCUAGAAUGGCAAUGAGUAAGGAGAUGGUUGCAUGCCACUAUGUGUAGUCGAUAACACUAAAAGUGUCCCAAUAAGAGGAGAAUUAUGCCCGACAAGAUGUAGGAUGCCAUGGAUGGCAACAUUGCCUUGAAAAUGAAAAGUUAAACUCAGUCCUGGUUCAACUCAUUCAAUAGGCACGACACAAGAAGUUGUUAUCUAUGCCCUUGUAAUGAGAGGAGAUUUAACCUAACCAUAGGUUCAUGGGUUUGGAUCAAUCUUCGUGCUUGGCAUGGGAAUAUAGAGGCAAAAAGUGAUGUGUACGACAAUAAAUAUAGUACCAUGGACAAACGGUUGAGCUUGAUACUAAAGAUUGAGGGUAAGACAUAUAAAUGAACGGCUUCACCACCUGAUGUGGUGUGACAUGUCGACAUGUGAAUAUGAAAUUGGAUAGGCAACAAACUCCUUAUCACCUAUAUUCAUGCAGAUAAUCUCCCUGGUGAUCAAAUUGAGCUAUGCGGGUGUAGGAGGGACCCCUAGAUUGAGUCUUUUCCUUUUAUUUUGCUUUUAAUAUUAUUUACCUUGAAACUCAAGCUAUAUUAUAACUACUUUUGAUGUUGACUCCACGAAAUAUGUCAGUUUAAAGGCAGAUUUGAUUUUUCUCCUCGCAUUUCUUUGUUUUACAAAAUUUUUUACCUUUCAUUGUGUCCACGUGAUGAUCUAUGAUUCGAAACAUCAAAAAGCAAGUUGUUACAGUUUCCAUUGUCUCAUCAAUGGUAGCUUUCUCGUCCGGUAACAUGUAUAAGGAAAACCUUUAUAUUUCGCAUCUACUUGGUGAAAAAAAUUUGAAGGGUCAUAUGAUCUACUUAGAGAGGGACUAUCUUCAAUCACUUGAAAAGCUUUGCUGUUUCAUUCCUUCUACAUCCUUUAUGCAGGCAUAUUUAGUUUGAGGAUGUGAUUUCUGAACAAAUAUAAACAUCUACCUACCCAUCUUAUUAAUUAUGCAUUCACAUGUUUCUUUACUUUUUCCAUUUUCCUGCUUAUAUUAUCACGCUCAUGAGUUUACUAUCUCUGUGUAUAGACUUAUUCAGUAGGUAUUUUAGUUCUUGAUUUCACCCAAUUUUACUUGGUCAUGUAGGGAGCGGCAACUCAGUGUUAUGUGGCGUUGAACCCCCAAGAAUAUGUAGUUGGCCAAGAAACUGGGGGAUUUAUGUGAUUGAUAAUAAUAUUGCCAGCCCAACCAAUCAUGCCAAGAAUAUGUAGUUGGCCAAGGAACUGUGGGAUUUAUGUUAUUGAUAUAUGGACUGUUAAAUGGUGGAAGUAGAUGUAUCAUUAUUUUUAGUUUCAAGUGCCCCUUUGAGCCUAUACAAACAAUUACUGAGCACAAGUUUGUUAUACUGUGUAACAAAUACAAUAGUGUUUUUGUAGAUUUCAGUCCAAAAGUGUUACAAAAGUAUUUUAAA